GAAAUGCGAUAAGUAAUGUGAAUUGCAGAAUUCAGUGAAUCAUCGAAUCUUUGAACGCACAUUGCGCCCGCCAGCACUCUGGCGGGCAUGUCUGUUCGAGCGUCAUUUCAACCCUCAGAACCCCUUGCGGGAUCUGGCGUUGGGGAUUGGCAUCCAGCCAGCCCCGAAAUCUAGUGGCGGUCUCUCCGCGACCUCCCCUGUGCAGUAGCGAUACCUCGCAGCGGGACAGCGGUCUGACCACGCCGUAAAACCCCCAACUUCUCAAGGUUGACCUCGAAUCAGGUAGGAAUACCCGCUGAACUUAAGC
rnacentral:misc_RNA from 1 species